UACGGAGGGUGCAAACGUUGCUCGGAAUUACUGGGCGUAAAGCGCGUGUAGGUGGAUUGGUGUGUCAGAUGUGAAAGCCCUGGGCUCAACCCAGGAACUGCACCUGAAACUACCAGUCUUGAGUGGUGGAGAGGGAAGUGGAAUUCCUGGUGUAGAGGUGAAAUUCGUAGAUAUCAGGAGGAACACCAGUGGCGAAGGCGGCUUCCUGGACACUAACUGACGCUGAGACGCGAAAGCGUGGGGAGCAAACAGG
rnacentral:rRNA from 1 species